rnacentral:lncRNA from 1 species
GCAGCUCAUCUGGUAGUGGAGAAGGCAGCAACAUAGUGGAGAGGCACAAAAUGUCAGCUGAGGAAAGCCUGCGUUUGUUGUUGAGCAGCGAGACAGCGUCACGUUCCACAGAAGGAAUCACAGAAGAAGCAAAGAGCGCGAAGGCUGCAGGUUUAGGAUGCCGCGCCGUCUUGGCAGCCACCUGAAAGGCCGCUUUGACAUCCAAUUCCGCCGGACGGAACAAUGACGGUGCAGCGCCGCGUGCGGAUGCAACGGCAGCACGGAGGUCGGCACGGGAGAGAUUGAGGUGCCAAAGGGCGUCGUCGUGGGAGAGGCCAGCACAGUGAUAGCGAAGGGAAGCGACCAGUCCAUCAAGAGAGCGCUGGGCGAGGUAGGUUAUGGUACGGUUGCAGAUGACGGGCACAUCGAUCCGGUCGCCGGAGCGCAGGGGGAAAGCGGAGGAGUGCCAAACGGCGUUGAGGAGGAUGUUGUGGACAGGGUGGAGAGGGCCGUAGCAGUGACCAGCGAUGAGCAGGCCGCGCGCUAGGGUAGUAGUGAGGUCGGCGGUGGGCAAGCGAGAGAUGGCGUCGAGGUAGUAGCCGCGGAUCUGGCCCAGCAGACUCCGCCGCAGUAUCCUCCUCGGGUCCUCCUCUUCCUCCUUGGGCGAUGAAUCCCUCAGCUUCGAAAGAGGGAUUUUGCGCUGGACGACGCGGUCGGAGGAUGUUCCAGAGGAACCGGAGGAGGGUGGAGAGUUGGCGACAAUUAAUACCUCCGCUUCCACCUUGGGCGAUGAAUCCUUCAGCUUCGAAAGAGGGAUUUUGCGCUGGACGACGUGGUCGGAGGAUGUUCCAGAGGACCCGGAGGAGGGUGAUGCCUUACAGGGAGAGUCGGCAGCAAUUAAUACCUCCGCCUCCGCCUCCGCCUCCGCCUUAGCGCGCCGGCGGCGGCGGCGGCGGCGGUUGCUCCGGCCAGCCAUGGAUCUCCUCUGCGUUGUUGGGUUGCGGCAGAACGCGCUAGGUUACCAGCUCUUUUGGGGGGAGGUUUCGGGCACUGGUAGGGUACUGGACUGGUAGACGGGGACGGGGUGGAUGAUUUAUGAAGACAGAGAUCUCGUGAAGAUACAGGUUUCCGCGGCCUGCUCUCCCUACCCUGAGUCGGAGUAGGAUUACGGGGCUGUUUAGUUGCCCCAAAGCCUCAACCAGCUCUGCCAAAAAAUUACUCCAACCCAUCCAUAUUAAUUGUAGAAAUAUUACAUGUAUCUAGACACUUUAGACAUAGAUACAUUCAUAUUGGACAAAUUUGACACAAUUUAUAUGGAUCGGAGGGAGUAGUUGACUUUUGUUCGGUUGAGAGCAUCUCCAAUUACAUCCCCAAUGCUAUCUCAAAUGCCCGUUUAGGGUACAGACAUCUCGAUCCUAAAAAUCAACUACUAAUGGCAUUCCCAAACGGACAAAAUGUCCACCUUGUCCGGAUUGCUCCCACAAAUUGGUCCCAAAUUUGGGAGAGAUUUGGGAUGUCCACCUGGUGUUCUUGUCCGUGUCCGUGCCACUGUGGCCCACGAGACAGUAGUCAUAUACAUCUCUCUCUCUCCCCCCCCCCCCCUCUCUCUCUCGCACAUCACACAGAGGCCACUGCCGCCCGUCUCCUCGCCUCCCACGAUGGCGCAGGUCACCGCCAGCCGUCUCCUCGUCCUCCCGCAACCAUGCCGGAGCGAUGGGGGACAGGUGCCGUUGUCGACCCAGAAACGUCAGAAGCCAUGCUGCCGCCCAUGGACAAGUCGCCGAUGCGGACGGCGCGCGUGCGACCGAACCUCAUGGUGGAGAGGAAGCUCGGCGUGCUAAGACAAGGACCAGGAGUGAUAAGGGUGGCCCGAUCUUCUCGUUGAGCUCGUUGUGGAUGGAUGAUAACUCGCGAGACGCUGACGAAUCUCUGGCUGUUCCCUCGUUGCCAAUGCAACAAUUCUCAACCCUACUUGAUAUUCGCAACAACACGUGCUUGCGCACGUCGCCGCCGACCACGAAGCGAUUCCCAGUGGAACAAUAGAUAGCACUUGAAUCUUCAGUAGCAAAAACACCAGAUCGAAACAAAGUGGUGAAGGUAAAAUUCCUGAUCGAAACAAAGAGGAAUAUAAUUUCAGAUGAAUGCUUGUAACUGUUCAACGAAAGGUUCUGAAUAAUCUAAACGUGGUCUAACCCUAAUCGUGGGCGCCCCUCAACUUAUAUAGGAGUGGUGGAUGUACAACAACCUAAAAGGACUCAGACUCGAACUUGGUUCAACCCAAACUUGAUACAAACUGACCCAAAUCGUUGGGUUCAGCCCAAACUAUGAGCACGCAGGCCCAACUCACACUUAGGCAAAUAAACCAUGUCGUAGGCAGCCCUAUGUGUGUCACGUGCUCCUCGACGUGUGCUGAUGCCUUAGACAUGUUUGACGUGUCAUAAGACUUGUCCUAGCAUCAGCAUCGACAACUUCUAUUGCUGGUUGAUUUCCUCCUCUUCAUGUGGUGCGCCGGCCUCCCUCUCCUCCCUCGCGCUCUUCUUGAUAUUGGAAAUCAACGGCAACGGAUCUCGCUGCAACUCUCCUCCUCCUCGUGCAAGGCUUGAAUCAUCUUCAAAUUUGAUCAUACAUAAAUGCAUAGACUUAGGUAAUAUAAAGCUCUCAUCAAUUAAAACAUCAGAUUCAAUUAAGAGUGAGUUCACCUGUUGUUCAAAUAGCUUUGCACGUGCUCUUGUUAUUGGCCCAAGUCUAACUUCAUUGGGCUUGUCUUGUGCAGCAACAUCAUCAAUUGGAGUUAAUGAUAAAGGACUAGGGAUGUCCUCAUCAAGGAGGCGACGUGCAAGCGCGACCAGGAGCAGGAUCGAGCCGCAAAUGCAUGCAAGGCGGCACCCGUAGAGGAGGUGGCUGCGACUAGGAGGAGUACUACCGCUCAGUGGAGGUAGCGCGAUGCUGCAGGAGAUGGGAAUUGCGUUGUGCUACUGCAGAGCUAGCUAGGGGUGAAACUGGAUCGGAUAAUUUCCGGCUGAAUCUGGUUCCGGAUCCGGUCGGAUAGGAUAUGGGAGAUGAGCUUUCUAUCCAGUCGGAUACGAAAACGGAAACAGGAUAAUUCAUUUGGACAAGGAAAAGGAUACGGGAUCGACAUUAUCCGCGAUACCGGAUUAUUCAUAUUUUUAGUCGAACAAUCCGGCUUGUGCAAUUCGGAUUAUCCGUUUUUUCUUCAGCCCAUUCAAAAAAGAGGCCCAAGCUCAAAUUUCUAGGUCGUAUUGUAUGUGCGUACUAUCCGUUCAUUUUUUUUCCGCCUCCGGUCCGGAGCCGCACCGUUACCGUACCACGUCUGUUUCGAUCGGCGUAUUCCAUAUUUGUUUCACCGCUUCCGUUUCCGAUAAAAAAAAAUAAGAAAUAGGAUACGGUAUGACCAUUAUCCGUCCGAAUCCGAUCCGGUUUCACCCCUAGAGCUAGCUGAUUUUGGUGGUUGUUGUCAAAGAGAGCUUUGUCUUUGGAAAUGGAGAUUGGGGAAGACCUGCCCCAUGGGGAGUCGCGGGCUACGACGGAGGAGAAAAGAAAAAGAAAACAGAAAUAAGUAAUUUGGGGAGAUCAGUUUGGGGGACACCGGGUGGACACAUGUCCAUUUGCCCCCCUAAACGGAUAAAAAGAGGACAAUUGGGGGCAAAAUUUCGGAAAUCCCAUUAAAGAUGCUCUUAUAUCAUCAGAAUUUUGGUUGUCAAGAUGAAUCAGGUCAUGACUCAUAUAUAUUCUUGUCAAAUAUAAUUAGCAAAAUUACUGCUAAAGAAUUCUUGAUAAAAAAAAUUUAGCAAGCCAACAUUUGGUAUGUUUUAUUUGGCACAAACCAAACAGACCCUGUGAUUCAAGUUCCGACUCGCCAAAUUUGUAUGGAAAUAGAAAGGGUGAUUUCAUUCGAAGUGAUGAAAGGGUGAUUUCGUAGUCCCUGUUUGAGAUGGCUUUCUCACCAAAUGCAAUUAUUAAGUCUUAGUAAGGGUCGCUUAGAUCCACACGAUUCUUCGAACAUAAGGAUAGAAAAAUGUAAGGAAGAAAAAGAAAAAAAUGUACAAAAUAGAGCACUAAAAGUGACAUCGAUGAAUUGUUGUCUGGUUUCUUGAAUAGAAAAGAGAUAGCGUUGCACAAAACCCCACACAUUCAGGUAGAGUUAUAACAUUUUGUCAUAACUUUUGGAGUUGAGCACUUUUUUCCCACAAAACCACAUGGGUGAAGGUAAUUAUUACAACCUCUAUCUGGGUUUUCUGAGUCUAGCAUUGUACUUUGUGAGCCAAACAUUGAUCAACAAUUAUACAUACUUCCUCUGUCUCAUAUUAAGGGAUGAAAUAUUACAUGUAUUUAGACGCUUUUUAGAUAUAGAUACAUCCAUAUCUAUUACUAUCUAUUAAAUUAGAGUUAGUGGUGAUUGCCGUGGGCGCUGUAGGUUAAUUUCGUUAAAAUUACAACCAAUAUGCCACUGCCCAUUAUUUUCUUUUUCUCCAGUUUUUUCACGAUUUCUCUUACUCCGUCUUACAACCGACGCCACCACACCCGCAUCCCGACCUCGACGGCUCCAUGAGUUGCCUACACAGAAAAUAAAAUAAAAUAAUUUGUGAUUUUGUUGACCCGUAGCAACGCGCGGGCACACCUGCUAGUUUGGAUAAAAUUUGAGUCACUUAGUAUGGGACGGAUGGAGUACAAUAUUUAAUGUAUGUAUAUAAAAGUAAUACAAUUUAAUUAGAGCUCUUUUAUGGUACCCCGAAAUAAAUAAGAGCCGUCUAUUUUGUCUAAUCUAACGGUUAGUCUUCCGUGGUACUCCAUUACAAGUGAUAAGGAGUACUGCCUCAAAAUGCCUAAAAAACCAAGGAGUGCCUUGAUGCCGAGGGUAGAAUAGUAAUCUAACAUAAUUUAGUGUGUGGUCAAAAAAUGAAAAAUUAGUUUGAAAUAGAUUAGAGAAAACAGUACUGCUAAAAAUCAAGAAAUCUUCCUCGUUUGAGUACGUACAGGUACUAUAAUCCGUUACAUGCUAAACCCUAAUUGGUCCCCACGUUGGGCUCCCUCCCUGUGAUGAACACGAGUAAAUGCUAGCUAGUUGAACCUGCCGGAGAAAGAAGUGUAAAGUUUGACGAGCAUGCAGGCAUGCAGCACAGUCUUGCUCAGGAUUUGGGCGCUACGAGGGCCGACUGGGAGGAUGUGGGCACCACGAGAACGCAGGCAUGCAGAAUGUGUCAGUGCAGAUGAUGGAUAGAGAUGAGAACGCUAGCCAGUUUAAUUUGUGCACGAUCAGUGAGGCGUACGGCGGGCGUGUGCUUGAUCGGAAAAUCAGGAGAGGAAUAGAUUUAACCCCGCGUGAUCAGGGAGACGUGACCACGCAGACCUACGGCGGCAUGUAACCGGAAAGUUAGGAGAUAAAUAGAUUUAAUCCAAAUAUAAACUUAUAAAAAAGUCAAAAGUAUCCUUUCUAAUGUAUGGUUAGAUUUGAUCGGUACUUCCUCCCUUACCUAUGGAGUACCGGGAUACCGUAAAAAUUCUUUUUAAUUAAUAGAGUUUCCAAUACUAAUCAUGAAUAUCUUUUCUGUGCCACAAUAAUCCUUGUGUUGAGGCGGGCAGCGCAUUCUUCUGAAACUUAAACCACGUCGGCCUUUUUCUUUCGUGGCCUGCAGAUUGCAUGAUGAUUGUGAGUAUUCGCCAUUGAUGACGCCAUCACCGAGGAGGGAUCAUGGAGCCGCUGCAUUGCUCAAGCUGUUCCUCAAAAUAAAAAAAUUUAACCCCAAAAGUUCUUCUCUCAGCUAAAAUUGCAUAAUGCCUUUUGUCUAAGAAACAACCCUUAAGUUACAACCAUGAAAGAUCACAUUCCGCUGCAAUAACCCAAGAUGCUUAGGUCACCGUCAUCUUUAUGACCACGAAGCCAUGGCAAAGAGGAUACGUAACGGUGAAAAUCUUGAUCCAAGUACUCCACGAGAUCAAUAUCUCUGUCAGGGUCGAAACACCUGUAGUCAACCUCGAGUGUGAUGGGGCAGUCGAGGCCACCAUCAAAGUUCUCAUAAUCAUCCGGGUGAUCGAUUCUAAAUUUUUUAGUCAGACAAGAAUGGCAACUAUCUGCAUGGAUCAGAAAGAUGAUUCAUUAAAGGGAUACGAAAAAACCAAAAACAAAUAGCAAACAUGUCAAGAUGAUCCGGAAUUUUAAAUACAAAGAUGGCAGGAGUGGGAGGAAACCCUUUCACCGCUGCGUUUAAUAGACGUUUUCAGUUUAUAGCUAUCAUGUAGAGUACAUCCCAGGGAGACAAACCUCCAAUCAACUACUCGUAGAACGUACUCCCUCCGUCCCAUAUUAAGUUACUUUUUAUUACAUGUAUCUAUCUAGAUGUUUUUUAAGCAUAGAUACAUUCAACAUAUUUGGACAAAUUGAAAUCAAUUAAUAUGGGACGGAGGAAGUAACAAACAAUACUUACAGAGACUAGUCAUAAGAUUCUUAGUUGUGUUACGUAAACACCACAAGCCAACCAUGAUCGAGAUGAUCAUAUGUCAUGAGCAGUAGCGCAACGAUGAAAAACGAAAAGAGAUUGGAGGUCAAGAGCAUGCCAACUUCACUUGGCGACGGCUGUACUGUACAACACGAGGUGACGUUCUCUUCACAAAAGCCAGGGUCAGGCCCCCGAACUGCUUCCGCAAAGAAAAACGCAGGAGCUUCUCUGGCAGAAGAAGGGUCAUCCUUUGGCCACGCCAUGAAAUUGAUAUGGAAAGAUCUAUCCAAAUUGAAUUCAUCCUUCAGGGUACCUGUGCCAUAGAUGAUAUGAAGCUGGUAGUGUGACCCGGUUUGCUGGGCAUACUUGCGCAACGCUGCAUCCGCUAUUUUAACCCAUCGUUCAUACCAUAUUAUGAAAAGUUUCCUCUUUCUAGUGAUGAUUUCAAAGGCCUUCCUGCACCGAUCUUGAAGAGGAGGAUGUGGCAGCUCAUCUGGUAGUGGAGAAGGCAGCAACAUAGUGGAGAGGCACAAAAUGUCAGCUGAGGAAAGCCUGCGUUUGUUGUUGAGCAGCGAGACAGCGUCACGUUCCACAGAAGGAAUCACAGAAGAAGCAAAGAGCGCGAAGGCUGCAGGUUUAGGAUGCCGCGCCGUCUUGGCAGCCACCUGAAAGGCCGCUUUGACAUCCAAUUCCGCCGGACGGAACAAUGACGGUGCAGCGCCGCGUGCGGAUGCAACGGCAGCACGGAGGUCGGCACGGGAGAGAUUGAGGUGCCAGAUAGCGUCGUCGUGGGAGAGGGCGGGACAGUGAUAGCGAAGGGAAGCGACCAGUCCAUCAAGAGAGCGCUGGGCGAGGCAGGUUAUGGUACGGUUGCAGAUGACGGGCACAUCGAUCCGGUCGCCGGGGAGUGCCAGACGGCGUUGAGGAGGAUGUUGUGGGCGGGAUGGAGAGGGCCGUAGCAGUGGCCGGCGAUGAGGAGGCCGCGCGCUAGGGUUGUGGUGAGGUCGGUGGUGGGCAAGCGGGAGAUGGAGUCGAGGUAGUAGCCGCGGAUCUGGCCCAACAGGCUCCGCCGGAGUACCCUCCGCGGGUCCUCCUCUUCCUCCAUGGGCGAUGAUUCAGUCAGCUUCGAGAAAGGGAUUUUGCGCUGGACGGGGCGUUCGGAGAAUGUCGCAGAGGCCCCCGACGAGGGGAAGGCCUUCUCGGGAGAGUCGGAAGCAAUUAAUAUCGCCGCCUCCGCCUCCGCCUUAGCGCGCCGGCGGCGGCUGCGGUUAUGCCGGCCACCCAUGCGAGGUUGGUUUCCA